GGCCAAAGCCGGAGUUAAAAUCUCCUUUGUAUCAACUCCAAGAAACAUCCAAAGACUCCCUAAAAUUCCUGCAAAUUUAGAGACACUCAUAAACUUUGUGGAGUUUUCAUUGCCAACCUUAGAAGAGGAAUCCCUACCAGAAGGAGCAGAGGCCACUGUUGAUAUUCCUCCUGAGAAAAUCGUGCCCCUGAAGAUUGCAUAUGAUCUCCUCCAACACCCCUUGAAGCAGUUUGUAGCCGACCAACGGCCUGAUUGGAUUGUCAUCGAUUUAAUUUCUCACUGGAUGGUGGAUAUUGCCAGAGAAAACAAAGUUCCUUUGUUGUAUUUCUCUGUUUUCUCUGCUUCUUCAUAUCUUUUUCUCGGCCAUCCUCGGUGCUUGGCCGGUGAUAGUCAAAAGAAGCUUCGGCCGUCAUGGGAGAGUAUGACUUCACCACCAGAGUGGGUUGACUUUCCUUCAUCCGUAGCUUAUCGGAAGUACGAGGCUAUCGGUGCUUUUGAAUGGAUCUAUGGAACAAAUGCUUCUGGUAUAUCAGAUGCUGAAAGGGUUGCCAAAAUAUUGAAUUCCUGCCAAGGCUUGAUUAUACGUAGCUGCCUGGAGUUUGAAGGUGAUUACUUGAACUCAUUGCACAAGGUAAUGGGAAAACCAGUACUUCCUUUGGGUUUGUUACCGCUAGAGAAACCAAAAACAAGAGAAAUCAGUGAUGGUUCAUGGGGUGAAAUCUUUAAUUGGCUUGAUCACCAGAAGCCCAAGUCGGUUGUUUUUGUAAGUUUUGGUAGCGAGUUUAAGCUAAGCAAAGAUCAAGUUUACGAGAUUGCCUACGGCCUAGAGCUAUCGGGAUUGCCAUUUUUGUGGGCACUAAGGAAACCCAGUUGGGCAAUUCUUGAUCUUGAUGCUUUGCCUCUGGGAUUUAGCCAACGAACAUGUGGAAAAGGGUUUGUUAGCAUCGGAUGGGCACCACAGAUGGAGAUUUUGGGACACCCAUCAAUUGGAGGGUCAUUGUUUCACUCAGGUUGGGGCUCUGUUAUUGAAACUCUGGAAUUUGG
rnacentral:misc_RNA from 1 species